rnacentral:misc_RNA from 1 species
GAUGAAGAACGUAGCGAAAUGCGAUACGUAAUGUGAAUUGCAGAAUUCAGUGAAUCAUCGAGUCUUUGAACGCACAUUGCGCCCUCUGGUAUUCCGGAGGGCAUGCCUGUCCGAGCGUCAUUGCUGCCCUGAAGCACGGCUUGUGUGUUGGGCUCCGUCCCCCGAUCCCGGGGGACGGGCCCGAAAGGCAGCGGCGGCACCGCGUCCGGUCCUCGAGCGUAUGGGGCUUUGUCACCCGCUCUGUAGGCCCGGCCGGCGCUUGCCGAUCAACCAAAUUUUUAUCCAGGUUGACCUCGGAUCAGGUAGGGAUACCCGCUGAACUUAAGCAUAUCAAUAAGCGGAGGA